AAGUGAGGGGUGCGAAAGACAGAAGAAUAUGUCUUACCCCUACCUGAUGAUUUUUCACAGCUGUACGGCUCAGGUGUCCUGAGUAUCAACCAGCCUUAAAGACGCUGAAGCAAAGCCUAAGGCAUAAGGAAGUCUUGCAAUUUCUGAAGUGCUGCCUGAAGACACGUUCGCGAGUCCCCAAGCUGCAUGAUGGAGAGGUCCCGUGCAUCAACCAGGCUUGCAAAAGUAACGAGAAGAAAAGUCUUUGCAAGCCAGAGGCUGAGCGCAUUAAGCAUGAAGUCCUGCAAUUUCUAAAGUGCUGCCUAAGGCAUGCUGCAAGUCUCCCAGCUGUAUGGCGGAGGGGUUUGAAGAAAUGGCGACAGCUUUCGUGUUCUAGAAGCUAAGGUUCAUGCAUGCGUUGGAAUAAUAAGGUAGCGCUGAUGACAUGCUGCUGGUCCAGCCAACCUUGCCAAGGGUAGUUUUGGAAUGAGGUGGACAGGUCUAGAAGCGGUCAGACACAGGCAAGAAGCGCGGUGAAUGACUGGCCACGAGCAAUCAUGGUAGUGUACGAGGACAAGUCGUUUUGUCCAGCUGCAGUUGUGCUGCCAACAUUGAAGUGUUGGAAGUUGGGAGUUGUGUGAGCAACGCUGGAGAGGUGAAGUGUGCCAGCGACGCUCAAAUGGUGAUGUGUGCCAGUGACACUGAAGGGUUCAAGUGCGCCAGCAACGCCAAAGAGUCGCUGUGUGCCCGCAAUGUGCAAGUGUUGGAAUUUGCGAGUUGUUUUAGCAACACUGGAGGGGUGAUGUGUGCCAGCAACACUGAAGGGUUGGGGUGUGCCUUAUGGGAGCGUUGAAGCAUCCAGCAGCAUUGUGUGUUUGGUGCUCCAAGCCCUGUGCCACAGACCUCUACAGCAGAAUGGGGGAUGAGGACAUCGCUCCAGCCACCUAGUGCAGUUUUGUGCCAGAAAGCGGUCGUGAGACACGUGCCUUGCCCAUCAGAUCUCCAACGGCAAUGGCAGUAAGUGGUCAUGAAACGUCCCAUGCCCCGCAGAUCUCGGUCGGCAGCACGGGAGGUGAGGAGCAGGGAGGCGGGGAAGGAGGAGGAGGGGGCGCUCCAGCCCCAGGCGUGGAUCCUUCUCCGGGUCCUGAGCCCUCCGACAGCAUUGGGUUGGAACCCGAGGAUCCUCCACCAAGCCAGCAGAGCAGUGACGGUGCGUUGAUGCAUUUUAAAAUUCGCACAUCUGGUCGCAUGUGAAGUCCCUCUGUGACGCAGCAGUGGCGGUGCAUGGAUGCAUGGCCAAACCUGCGCAGAUGUGUGUAUUGACCCAUGCGUAUUUAGUCUCUUUGUGCCGCAGCAGGCCAGGUUGCAAUCCGAGGAUCCUCCACCAAGUAGCCAAAGCAAUGACGGUGCAUGGAUGCAUUGUCGAGCUUGCGCAAGUGUCAAUGCAUACCUCGUCUCUUCCUGACACAGCGGGCUGCUUCAAAUUCAGAGGAUCCUCCACCGAGCAGCCAAAGCAGUGACUUGUGUGGGUGCAUUGUCCGACUUGUUCCUCGUCGCAUUUGCGGCACAGCUUGCGUGGGUGAGAUUCUGCCUGCUUGUGCUGUGCCAAGGGAAAAAGGAGCUUCUAAGGCUUUAAGCUUUCAGCAUUUGACGCUUCUUCAUCUGCGAGAUGCAUACACACAUGCGCGCGCGCGCGCGCGCACACACACACACACACACACACACACACACACACACACACACACACACACACACACACACACACACACACACACACACAUAUGCACGCAGAUGAUGAUGAAGCUGGCAAGAUUGCUGGCGGCGUCGUAGGCGGAGUCGUGGGUUUCCUGGUGGUCAUCGUGCUGCCCAUCUUUUUGUUCUUCUACAUCCGCAAGCGCAAGAACAGUGCUGAAGGCCCUAAGAAAGAGAAGGUGAGCUUUUGGCCCAGCCCUUCAUGGGGCUCGGGGUGUGCUUGCUCGGUCUUUCAGUAAGCGAGGCACGCGCUGCUGGUAAAUCCCCUUCUCCAUGGAGAUUAGUUACUCUGGCGUGUGUCAGUCGCGCGCGCGCACACACACACACACACACGCACGCACACACAUGUACACACACACACACACACACACACACACACACACACACACACACACGCACACGCACACGCACACGCAGCCCACCCAAUCCAGCAAGCCCAGCUUUAUUGGCCACGCCGCUGUAAGCCCCGACAAUAGCAUGCCCGUGGCAGAGCGGGAGUUCUCCAACAUCAACAACAUGCUGGCGCUGCAGCAGCAGCAGGAGCAGCAGCAGCGGGAGCAAGAGGCGAUCGAUCGGGAGCAGCAGCAGCAGCAGCAGCAGCAGCAGGAGCAUCAUCGGAAGAUGGCUUUUGCCGCCCACCCCUCCAGCCCUGCGCGCGCAUCGGCCGAGCUGCGUAGCUCCUUCAGGGAGAUGGCAGAUCAGAGACCGGAGGACGCACCAGAGGUGUGCGCACUUUGGCCACUCGCACAUCUUACGCACUUCAUAUUCUUUUGUCGCUCACGCGUCACUCACACCUCACUGCACUGGAAGUGCGUGCGCUUCUGUGUCAUUCGCUCGUCUGUGACUUUGUCGCCCUUGUGCUGUGCUCAAUACCUGUGGGCCAUGACCACCUCAUGGCGUUGUUCUCCUGUGCCCUGUGACCUGUCCAUUAUCUUCAUAUUGCGCAUGGAGACUCUUAUAUGCAUGUCUCGCUGAGACCUCUUCUUCUUUGUGUUGUGGAUGGCUUUGCGUGCAUGUCCUGUGCAUGUCUUGGUGUGCGUCUUUGUGUUAGUGCAUGUUGCCCAGGAGCACACCUUGGGUUAGGUGCAGUGGCCAUCCUGCCUCAUGUAGUCACAUACUCCUUCCGUCUCGUGGAAUCAUUCAGUCAAGUGUCUUGAAAUCAUUCAGUCGAAUGGAAUCAUUCAGUCUGGUGUCUCAUACAUCCAGUUGGGAUCCUCGAGUGAUUCAGUCUCGAUUUUGCUCAGUCGCCUGGUCUCAUGUGGAGUCAUUUUUCAGUCUCUCUGAAGUCUCUCUCAAUUAUGGUAUCACUCAGCAUGGACUCGUCUGGCCUGAUCUGCAACUGUGGAGUCAGCCAGUUUUAGGGUCACUCGGCCUCAUAGCCUGGUACAAUCUUGCAGUUGGUCAGCUUUGUGGCCUUCCAAUCACUCAGUCCGUUGGAGCCCUGGAGCUAUGUCAACAUGCAGUCUCUGACCAAUUGCCUGUGCACACACAAAAACACACGCCCAUGUUCAUGCCUGUUGCCGCCUGCGCUGCAGGGCUACGCCCCCCCUCCCGCCGCGGUUACCACCGUGCACCAACCCCACCUGGACCCGCUGUUCCACCGAGGCCGGCUGCCCACGGUGGCCCCACCAAAGCUCCAGCCACCCUUCCGUGCGGCUUAUCCCACCUCAAGUCAUCCCGGCAUCAUCUUUGAUGAUGAGGAGGACUCUCCCAACACAGGGGCCCGUGCCAGCCCACUGGGCCCAGGCACCUUCCCAGCAGGAGCCGAUGCCGGUGGGCAUUUAAGCCCAAGCCCAAGGCCCACACGGUUCUCCCCCAGGACUGACGCAGCUGCCACAUUAGCAGAUGCGAAGGGCGAGGAGCGCGUGGAGAGAUCAGAUCGCACAUUUGGGCUGCCGGGCUCCCUUGCCACUCAGGUAUGUCCUGUGUUUGGAUGGCCUGCUGAAGCUUGCCUUGCGCGGCUUCAUUUGCAGACGCGCGCACCACCACGGGUUUGAAAGUUGUGCAAGGUGCCUGUGUCCACAAGCUGCGCAAGCUCGUGUAUGUGCUUGUGCUUGUGCAUGUGCAUGUGCUUGUGGACACAAGCUGCAUGGGUCCCCCGAGUUUUCCCAAGGCGUACCCUGGGCAGAUGGGGGGAUGUUGAUGGGCAAGUGCGCAGGAUAGCAUAGGACAAGAUAGCUGUACCUGCCUAUAAGGGCUGCUACCUUUUGACCUGUUGGCGCUUGCUCGGAACCCCACAUUUAAGCAGAGGCCCAGCUUAUGAGCAUCUGCCUGUUCGAUAUGUCUGUCCGUUCUGGUAAUGUGAUGUGUUGCAGUCACAUGGGUGUAUGCCAAGUCCAGCCUGUCCACAGCGUUUGCACUGAUGGGAUCCUCCUGUGCGCAAGCACAGCCGGUUGCUCUAAUGCUUGGCUGCAUUGUGGCAAGCAGCCUGAUCAAUUUGAUGCCCCUCCCCCUGCCACUGCUUUCUCCCAGGCAAUGUGUAUGACGAAGAAGCAUGCCUGCAGCAAGGCAUGGACUUGUUGGUGGUGAGAAUGCAUACCUCACAUCGUUCACACCAUUGCCAUGCGCCCACUGUCGUGUUUACAUGCCCAACCUCACUGCCCGGCCUGUUUUAAUUGCAUGGCAUGCUCCACUCGCUGCUGAAGCCUUGGGUAAGCCUUGCAGGGGAGUCUUUUUCCUUUUGUUUAAUUACUGAAGCAUCCGUUCUCAGGGUAGUGCUCACGCUCAAACUUCAUGCGUGUGCUGCCUGCUUCUCGCAGCUGAGCAGGCGCACAGCGGAAACAAUGGCAGGCGGCGCCUAUCUCAGCGCUGACGGCGCACUUCUGCCUGACAACACGGCAAGCCCCUCCUCCCGGCCUCCAGCAGAAGCAGAGGACGGCAGCGCUCCCCCUGCACGUGCAAGUCCCCCCCCCCACUUGCUAGAUUGAGCUCAGAGGGAAAGGUUGUCGAUUGGGAGCAAGGGGUUGGGCCAUUGAGCAAGCUGGAACCCUUAUCCACCUCCCUGCCACACAGCCGGGGCACCAGCUUUGUGGCGUGCACAAAAGUUUUUCUGUCCACCAACGUGUGCACGAGUUGUGCACCAACAUGCAGUCUCUGGGGAGGGAACCUUGGAACGUUGGCCCUCUGCUUCUGGUGCCUAGGUGCUGCAGCACCCUUGCCUGGGUGGCCCCCUGAGCCACUUGCUGAAUGGAAGGUGACGCUGCAUUUCAACAGCUUGAGCUGAAGCAUGCCAUGAAAUUGCCAAGGGUUAGAAUGGAUCUGCCUGGCUUGCAUGCAUGCAUGCCAUGACAUGACAGGGUCAGAAAUGAAGGGCUCGUGUGCGACAUCUGGAGCCCUGGCUUGAUUACUUUUGCUGUGCAAUUGAGCGGUGUUUAUCUCCCUCAUGGAGCGCUCAAUGCUUGAUUUAUGUGGCUCCCCUGAGGCCGCAAGCCAUGUUACAACACCUGUGUGUGUGUGUGUGUGUGUGUGUGUGUGUGUGUGUGUGUGUGUGUGUGUGUGUGUGUGUGUGUGUGUGUGUGUGUGUGUGUGUGGUCAUGUUGGAUUUCUGUGUUCGUUUGUGCUUUUAUGAAAGGCGUUUAUAGCACAUUGUAAGAGGAUGUUUCAAUUUGAGGACUGAAGAGAAUCGACCUCAAGCAUGGAACCAUGACCUUUCACGCUGCAUAACCUUUUGAUGUUCAACAUUCAUUUCAAAUAUCCAAGGAAGGGUUCUAACAUGAUUCAGCAUACGCGAGAGUCUAGCAGAAUUUGGACAGUGCAAUGGCAGUGCCACAGGAUUUGCAUGUACAACUGCUUUUUGCCGAACUUUUUUUUGUCCCUUACUGUAGGAUGCGGGCAGUCUUGCACGUAUACAAAUCGGUGUGGCUGCAGCACAGGAAGCGACCAGCUGCUUUUAAACAUCAUUGCACUGCGGCAUGACAUUUUGGUUUUUCGCCAUCAUUUAUCUACUUGCUUUAGUCCAUUCUGGGCUGAGAUCCUGAUCUACUUGGAGGGGUUGUGUCAGAGUUGUUUGUCGCGUCCAUUCUCCUCCCUGGGUCACAUUUGUAAUUAAUAUUUUUUUCCUCUCCAUUCAUCCUAUUCGUGAACACACGCUGUGAUGCAUUCCUUUUGGUGGUAAUUUUUUCAAAGGUUCCUGUGAUCGCAGCGUUGCCAAUCCCUUCCGUUGAGAACGUGCUCAAAUUGUCUUUACCAUAACGAUGUUUCUUUUUGCUCCUGUGGCCCUUCUUUUUGCUCCUGUAACCCUCGUGGUUUCCUGACGAACCCCAUUGUUGCAUCUGUUCAGUUGCAUUAGUAAGUAAAUGUAUCAGACAUUACUUUUUUUGUUCCUUUUUUUCAAGUUUUGCAACCUUUUUCUAUUCGCUGGGUAAGGAGAUAACGACCCACGUUUUUAUGCAUGAUAAAAAGAAUUCCAAGAAGGAUUCAAAGAGUUCUUUGUUCUGGUCCUUGAGCGGAGGCCUGCUCUCCAAAACAGCUGAUCUCACGCAGGAGGACCCAGUCUGCAUAACUUUUGGACGUCAUGUGUGUCAAUCCAAAUAAGAACUAUGUAUUCAGAAUCCUGAGGUCGAGAGCUAUUGAUUGGUAUACGUAUGGGUCCAGAGAGAGUCGGGGGUGGUGGGUGGCUGAGGGGGGUUCCGAUUUUUGGGACCCCCCUCCAGAAUUUUUCUAAGCCACUUCUGUAGGAUUAUAAACAUAUCACCGGAUUCCUUAGCUUGGGAACUGUCGAUUGGCACCCUCUUCGGAGAAAUUGGGUAAAAGGGGGGGGUCUCUGUGCAUGAAACAGAGUCAGUGCCACAUGCCCAUGGUGUAGGCUGCUGGGGGUGUGAAGGCAAACAUGCAGCAACCAAAUCCAAACUUCCACGAUAGAGACAAGGUGUAAUAAGUCCUUGUAUGGUCAAGUCAGAAGUUCAAUUUAUGAACACGCAAGCCAGUUGUGGGUGCCUGGAGGGGCAGGUUUGCAUGGGCGUCCAUUCCCCAGUUUUUGCACCAUGACUCUGCUCCAACCCAACAUUCGAGUGCGAUUAGGUUAGGUUAGGUUACAUAAGUUUUGGCCUUCAGCCAGGUGGACAGAGAAUUUAAAGAGGAGCAGAUUGGUACCCUUUUUGUCGGGAUUGGGGCACUGGAAGGGAAGUUUGGGGGAUGGUGGGUGGGUCAGGGGGGUCCCGCCAAAAAUUUUGACAUGACGUCCUCUACGUUUUUUACCCUCCUGUCUCAUGCUUAGAAAGGUCGGAUUGUGUUGUGCACCCCAAUACAUACUUGCCACACACUGCACAGGGCUUGGGUGCCCACCCACGCCAAAAAACUUUGUCGGCAUCAGGAUGCUGAUCAAUUACUACCGUUAAGCCCUUGUUCUUCGCAGCAGAGAGAGAUGUUUUGUCCGGCCCCAGACGCAUGUACUGACCAUUCCUACAAAGGUAACGGGUUUUACAAGAAGAAGCCAUCAGGCAAAACGCAUGACUGCGAGGCUAAGACUUCGAAGAGUAUUAAGAAAAGGUUCUUGUGAAAUAGGUGUACACUUAGUGAAGAAGUAACAAAGCAGCAUGCAGGGAAUGAAAAGCUGGUGGGCCAGGCCCAGCAAGUAUCAAGUGAGCAAGGGGAAAGGGGACAAGAAAGGCUGAACGAACGUGUGUGGUUGCAAUCAGACGAAUAAGGCGCUGGGAUAAAAUGCGGUCAGGUUACGAGGUUACAAUGGCACUUAAGCCUCCAGCCAUAAAGCUUGGCUGCUCGGCUAGGAUGUAGUCAGAAACACAUGAGCAAAGAAGCAUCAAGAGAGAGCAAUAAGACCAAACACGAAGCAGAGGCUGUAAGGUUCAUGCAGCCACCUCCUGGGACUCAUAAAAAGGACCGCCAGCAAGUAAGUACACGAUGGUAAUGUUGGGCUCACUCAGGAAGUUCCAUGGCAAUCCGACAUGAAAUUUUCAGCAUGCCCCAGUGAGGCCCAAAGAAAUGCAAAGAACUUACUUGAAGGAAGGAGAAAUCCAAAAGCUCAAACAUGAAAAAGAUAAGCUUCUUGUUGUGUUGCAAGAUGUCACGACAAGAGUGUGCUGUGAAGAGAGUGUGCUGCAAGGUACUUGAUUUAGUUGGCAUUUAUUCUUGUGGCAACACAGCUGUGGCUGUGUUGAGAGAACCCCUGGAUUCGGAAACUCAUAGUAGCACCAUUUGUUAUUAUUUCUCUGUGUAAGCCCAAUCAAGCCCGCUGUUAAAGAAGCCCAUGUAUGAGUAAGCUCAGACUUACUCAGACUUAUCCCUUCAUCUCUGAGCCUAUGGACUUCUUUCACCACACCAAGCAGCCAAACUUUCUGGAGGUUAUGUUCCCUUGUACACCUUGUAAACCUUGUAAAACUUGUAUGAGUAAGCUCACCCAUGGAAGAGGACGCCAGCAGUGCCCCACCAGUUAGCGUAUCAGUCCAGUAUCCGUGCACGCAGCACGCUCAGCCUAGCCAAGGUACCAAAAGUACUGCUCCUGCCCAAGUAAGGAGGCGUCAAGCUGACACUCAAGCAUCUUGUCACGACAAUAGUCUGCUGUGACGAGAAUGUGCUGCAAGGUAGUUAAGUCAGUUGGACAGUUGAUAUUUUAAUCUGUGACUAUGCAGCUUGGGCUGCGUUUAGACUAAAAAAUUUAGUGUUAUUGUGGCACACAAAAACUGUCUAACUAGCUGGAGCUUCAAUGUGUAGACUUGCUGGAUUAUGAUUUGUAAAAAGUCGGCGCGACUCUUGAUGCUCAAGCCUGAUGCUCACUUCUCUGCUUCAAGGUUGGGGCUUUGCGGUGUGCGCACUGCUGCAAAGAAACACAUACUUAACUGGUGGUGCUGAUGCUGUAUUCCUCCUCCUCAGGCUGUUGGGCACUAGCCUGACUCAUGCAUUGGGCUCUCUCUGAUUGGUGUUGCUGACUUCUUACAAGUGCUUGAAAAGAAAAGAAAAGAAAAGUCUACGCAGCCAACAGGCCGCGUGCAUUAAGGGAAGAACCCCUAACAAAAGUUAGAGGCCUCACCAGGAGGCCCUCCACCUAAACUAGACAAAACUAGCUAAGGAGAGAGCAAGAAGCAGAAUUAAUGGGGGCCCGGGGGAUUGGCUGCCAUGCCCCUGAGCGCUCGGACCCUCCUUCUUCCAUCCUCAGCCGCCGCCGCGCGCCCGGCAAGCCCCCUCCCAGAUGCCCCCUGAAAACAAAGUGCACGUCUAGUGUUAAUGAUGUUGGAUAAUCUUUGGAUGGCAUGGUCCCUGAGCUUGGAUGCUAGUGAUUUGGCUUUCUGUUUGGUAAGACCCAGAUUUAUGAGAGGUGUCAUUGUUAGCUCAUUGUAAAUCGUGCCAUCAACACCAAUUAAGAUGAUAUGCAAAGUCACUUUGUUAUUCUUGUUUGAGUUUCUUAAGCUGCGUGUUUUAAGUCUGCUUAUGAUGUGGGAAUGUUGAGUUUGUGCACGUUCUUAGGUGCUGACAGGAUUAGUAUCGGAGCAGAAUUUAAGUUCAACAAGGUGGAUGUCUCUAUUUUGUGGUGGAAUCUUGGUAGGGUCGAGGUGGGCUUCUCUACCCGGGAUGUGCCGCACAAAUAGAGCAUCAGGGCGGCUUGUGUGUCGUACAGGAGGGGCAGUGCCGUGAGGGAAAACCCAGUCUGGGAUAGCUCAAGAGGUGUUUUCAGGGACUGUAUGCCUCGAUCGAGAAGUCUGUCGUGAUUGCAACCAUCCAUGUUAAUGAGGGAUGAGCCAUAGCGGCCUUUGCUGAGGGCUUCUGUACAGAGAUUCAGGGCCGCGUGGUGUCUGUUGGUGUGCAUCCCACUCAUUGUUGGGUUGGUACACCUAAGCAGAACAUGAUAAAUAUUAUCUGUAUUUGCACAAAGUGGGCAUCUAUCAGAACUUGAAAAGUUUAAUUCGGAGGCAGGGCCCUGUGUAUACACUGUAUUCGUUCGAUAUUUCAUGAGAUUUAUUUGAUGUUUAAGGGUAAUCUUUGGAUUUUUUUCAGAAGGAGUUGCUAAUUUCCUUGUUUGCAAGCUGAGAGAUUGGGUGGUGGCCUACAUUGUUUGUGUUGUUGGUGGAUGAUGUGGCUUCGUUUUUGCUUUUGCCAUCUCUGGUAGUGGUAGCCUGAGGUGUCAGCACAACCAAGUUUGUGUUUCUUGUGCAUGUGUGUUUUAAGUUUGUCGCUAGUAUUGGUGAGAUAGUGCAUCGGGGAAGUGUGGGUGCUGCCAUCAUUUUGUGUGGAAGUUGUCUUCAAUGAAAGCCAAUAGAAGUUGUGGAAGGGGUCCAUGGCAUCCGGAAGCGUGAUGCAUACUGUGUCAGAGAGGGCUGCGGUGCGAGCACAAGCAUCAGCCCCCUCAUUCCCUAUGAUGCCAGAGUGGGCUUUGACUUUAUUAAAAUGGAUAGGGUGAGGGGAGUGCUCUAUUAUGGUUGAUAUGGCGUGUAUGAGCUCUGCAUGUAUGUGAUACCUCAUGCGCAUGGGAUGAAGGGUUUGAUUAGACAUCUAAAAGAGGCAGGAUGCACUAUCAGUGGCAAUUUUGGUUUGCUCGUGUUGGAGCGCAACCAGGAUACCUACGAGUUCUGCUCUUGUGAUAGUAUUGGUAGGCCCAUGGCCAUUGGGUUUUAUGUGUAGUUGUAAGUGUUGAAAGGGUUGAGUAGUGUCUCUUCCUGGUUUGUAAGCACCUGAGCCUGAUAGUGGUGGGGAAUCAUCAUCUUUGUGUUCGAUCACACUGCUGUCAGUGUAGGUCAUUUCCCUCCAAUCCUUUAUUUUGGGCGUAAAUGUCUUUUUGUACUAGGCAGGGGUGAAUGCUGCCCUUUCUAGGAGGCACUUGUUGUAAGGACCAUAUUUGUGAAUCAACAUGCGCAAUGCACAGACAAUUGAGUAGAUAUGAAGAUACACAAACAUGAAUAUUUUUGAGCAUGCUUGAGGAUUGCUUGCAUUGAGCUGAGAUAUAGACCUUUGCUGUACCCUUGUUGUUGAAGAAGUAAGCUUGACCAAGCCUUUGUUUGCAGCGAAUGCUUGCACAGCUGCAUGCAGACAUGGACUCUACCCGUGAUUGCUGAGGAUUGAAGAGGCAUGAGGCACCAACCCUACCUGUGCCAUUCAACUUAGCAUCUUUGAGUCAGGCUAUGAUGAUGACUGAUUAGGGUUAGGAAUGCCAACCUGUCCAAGAUGACACCGCAGUCCAAGUCAGCUACGUGAAGAGACGUACCAGCGAUUGCCUCCACUAGUUAUAGCAGGCUACCCGCAGCCAACAGCAAGGAUGAUGACGAUGGAUAGAUAUGAGAUGGGACAAACCCGUGCUGGAGACAUUGCCUGUUAGUCUAAGAUGGUUGAUUGAGACAUCACACUGAACAAGUGAACAAAGAUGCUUCCUUGAUGUAUAUCUUGUUUUCUAAUGUUAUGAUACUUGCUUGCUAUGAGAGAUACUUAGAGAUCCGUCUCAGAGCUUGUCACGUGAUUGAGUUGGUCACAUGUUUGUACUUUCUAUCAUGUGAUGAACCUGGGCCCUAAUCUUUGUCAUGUGCUUGUAUUUUAUAUCACAUGUGUGUCCCUAGACCCUCUUGGAAGAGAACCUUUGUGGAAGAGACCAUUGUAGGUUUUCCUGUACUAUAAAUUGCUGACAACACUUGUUUUGAGGAGGUUGAAAAGGAGGUUGAGAUGGUAGGGUGACUGGUGGAUGGUGAGCUGGGGUGCCACCCGUUGGGUGGUACAUCUUUUGUGUAUUUCCUGGACCGUACUCUCUUUGUUGUUGACUUGUAAGGACUUGACAGCUAUCUGUCUCUGCCCCUCUCCGCCUCGUCAGCUGUACAUAUAAGGCUUUGGUAUUGUCAGCUUCUAGAACAUCUCCGAGAUCUCCGUAUGUGCAUCAGCAACCCCAACCCGAAUUCCAAGAACCAGAAGUUAGCCAACUAACUUCGAUGUUGCCAGCCCACGCCACUACAGCUGCGGCCUCGGCUUCAUUAUAAAUUUGUCUCUUACACUUGUGUGAGCAGCUAUGAGUUUCAGGGGGAAGUGAUUGAAAUUUCUGCUUCAAAGUGUUUGAUGCAAGGUGUUGGUGUGUACGCAGUUGUGUAGUUGAAUUUGGUGUAUCAAGGGGAAGCCAACUAGCUUCUGCUGCAACUUGUUCUACAUCUUGCUGGAGAGACUGGAGGCAGUCUUUGUUUGCGCUGUCUAGCAUAACUCUGACAUUGUUGUUCCACACAACAAUGAGCUGCAUAGGAUAGGAUGGUGGGGUAGGAUUGGGUAAGGUAUCAAACCAGUGUUGUGGUGCUUGGAAUUGGAUUUUCCUUGCAGGGAAUUUGGCAAGAACAUUUGCAGUAUCUGGGUAUUGUUUCAGCCAGCUCAUAUACGCGUUACAGCUGAAGCCUCUCCACUGGGGCAGGAGCAUGAAGGUGGCAACUGGAUCUGUGCUUUGGAGGGAGGAAUGCACUGCUUGGCGCAAGAGUUUAGACAUCAUUUCAUCAUCGUGUGGAGGAUGGCAGAAGGAGAAGCCAGUGUAGCGCACAGAGAGUGCGUCUGUGUGAGCUCCAAAAGACUUGGUCUCGGCUAUUUGUACUGAAAUAGGUGUUGUAGGUAUUUUCAAAAUCAAGGGGGCUGGAAUACCUCUCUACUGAGACCAUGCACCAUUUUUGCAGAGCUGAUCGAAUGCAGGAAGAAGUAAUAAGCAUGUUUGAAUUGAGAAUCUCUUUGCUUAAAGCAAAAAGAUUUUGUUGUUGAGCCUUUUGGCGAGAGAGCAAACCCAUAAUUUCAGUCGCAGAAUCCUGGACAGGGGGCUGGACGGUGUCAUGGAUGCCUGCCUUUUUGGCAGCCUCAUAGGCUUCAAGCAGGGUCUUGAGCCUGUCUAUCGUGAGCAUGCCCAUGCAAUUUGCCAUUGGCAUUGUAGAUACAGGCGCAUUCAGAGGUGGUUACCUCUGGCAUUUGUACUGGCAUGGCGACCUCAUCACAAGUGUCAUGGUGAAGGAUUUCCUUCAUGAGGUCAACACUCCUUAUGAUGAUGUUGCAUUGCCAUGUGGGCAUGAUAUCUGUCUGGGGAUUGGUAGGUUGAAAGUCAAAGGUGACAUUUUUGUGAAUGGUGCAGCCGGUUGUUGAGAUCCAUGAAGAGUUAGAAAGGCUUUGGGGGUUGCCUUCAAAGCCUUGGUUGACAAGAUUGUCCAGGUCCAUAUCAAUGUUCAAAGGGUCUUCUAUAAGCUCUGGGUGUUCCUCAGGGUCAAAGGUUUGCAAAUGAGCAUCCAGGUCUGGAUGCAUGCGUAACAUUUCUUCAUCUUCCCAUUUGGGAUGCCACUCUGCAUAGAUCAUUUCACAGUCUUCAGAAGAGUUGAUCCUUUCUGCUUUUUGAGAGUCUGACAGGGAGGCGCAGGCAGGGCAUUCCCAAUGCUCAUUUUGAUUGAACAAUUUCCGGUCAAUUUGGGAGCAAGCCUUGACAUGUAUAAGGCAGCCCCAAUGGUAUGUGCGGUGACAGGUGUCACAAGUAGGCAUGUCAUCAUAAGUUUCUGAAAUUGCUGUGUGUUCUUUGCUCACUGGGCUCCAGCAGAGCUGGCAGCAUGGGUCUGCUUUAGUUCUUCUCGGUACAUGCUUUGUGGAGGCAGGAUGCAGCCUAUCAUGUUUGAAAAUGGGCAAGGCCCAUUUCUCAAUGCUGACAGGGUGCCAUUGUACUUUGUAAUGUUUUUGCUCCUUUUCUUGAGAGGUUCUCUUGUAUUUUCGGAGGUGUUGCCAGCCCAGGAUAUCAAGAAUAACAUAAUCAUAGCGGAAGAUGGUGUUGCUAGCUUCAACUUUGCUUAACGUAUUAGCCUUAUUCUGUUUAUAGUUCCAGAGCCCUUGGGGGAUUUCGGUGCUUGGAAUGUUUGGAGGUGAGGGACAAGGGGUUAUUAUGGGUUGGUGGUUAGAGUCAACAAAUAUUAAUGUUGUCGGAGCUCGGCUCCCUUUGGGCUUUCUGCCUCCAGUUUGUGGGGUCUGAGUGGAGUCUCUGUUUUGUGCUUGUGCUUGCGGCUGCCCUGCAUGCGGAUAGUUCCUUUUGUGAGUGCGUCUGCCUUGGAAUGAGUGUAUUGCUAUGUUUGGUUGACUGUUUGAUGAUGGGUUCUCCUGCCUGGUAGGGGAAGCAUUUCCUACUUCCAUACCCGCAGCAUCAGGGAGGGGGGUGCUAUAAAUUCUGGGGUCUGAAGGUGUGAGUGUGUUAGGGGCAUGACUCCCAUUGUUUGUGUUGGAGUUGAGGGGAUCUGGGUCAGCGUAGCUUGGGUGGAGCUUUGACCAGUUCCAACCGGUUGGUGCAUGCUCAGUUUUCAUCAUUUCAGCAUAUAUUGUAUUAUUGAUGCAGCAUGAUUCAGGGGUUUUAUUGGGUGAGCUGUCUUGGUUGUGUAUGAUUGCAUUGAUGAGGUCAGGUCUGUCCUCAGCCAGAGUGGGGGUGUUGAGGGUAUGGGAGAGUUUAUUCAGGGCUGUAAUAUGUCUCGUCUUGACUUUUCGGCCAAACAGGAAUUUGAGUUUGUUCCCGUCAAUAAUAUGUGUGAGGUUAUCAGUCAGCAGGGCUGAGAGACUGUGUAUGCCUAUUUCCAUAAGGGCAGAAGUGCAGUGGCAGGCUAAGGUUUUAAGGGUGGGUUGCAUUGGCAUUGAAAGUACUUUUAUCUUGGGAGUGAUGCUGGAGAGAAGGUAGGGUGCUCCUUGAUAAGAGAUGUCACUAGCGCUGUUGUUGAUGCAAAGGUAUUGCCUAGCACGUAGCACGAAGGGUAACUGCUUGAGGAUGAAGCUGGAGGUUGGUGAUAUGGGUUGAUGCUUCCGAGUACGUAGUGUCUCAGAUGAUGGAUUUAAGAUUCCAGUAAUGACCUGGUGACCCUGCCGUUCCUGCUGGUGUUAUUGAGGCUGCUGGUGAGGGCCGCUGCACAUCUCGCAUUAUAUUCUAAUGCAGUGGAUGUACAACCAAGACCAUAGUUAAUUUUGUCUUCGCGCAGGAUGGCUGUGGCAGUGUUAUGCCAAAGCUUGUACCUCUCUUUGGUAGUGUUGAGGGUAAGCCUGCCCCAGUCUGCAAGGACACUCUCUGAGCAGGGUGUGACUGGGAAGGCAUACGCAAUGCUGGGAAUGAUGGCUGUACGAAUCAUAUCCAGUGUUCGCUUGGGAAAAGAGCAGGUCAAAUUCGUCAGUUUUUGGGAGAGCUUAUCCAUCAUUUUGGUAAGAUGGGGUUCCCAGUCUAGUGUCAUGGUGAUUUCAACACCAAGGUAUGUGAAAGUAUCCCCGGGGCAAAUGAGUUGAGUUGGUUUACCCUGGACCAAUAUCUUGUCUUUGAGUUGACGAUGAGCAAAAUCUGCCACAGACGUCUUACCCCUGGUUUGCAUAGUAUGUGGGCUAAGAAGGUUGCAUGUCACCUUUGUUUUUGUGCCAGAGACGAUGAGGUGUGCCCAAUCAGCAUAGAGGUCCAAUUUCUUGGCUUGAAUACGCAGGUUAGCAUACGUGCCUGUGAUGCAGAUGAGGUCAUCUGCAAAUGCCCCACUGCUGAUUUUGUUCCGGGUUUUCUGUUUUACAGUCUAUGGGUUUUUGUUGAGGUAUUCAUAUUUAUAGCCUCGCCCGCCAGCAUGGGGCCAGCGCAGCAGGGGCUCCAUGUAUAUGAGGAAGAGGAAUGGGGAGAGGGUGUCCCCUCGGAUGGUCUCCCUUUCUAUGGGGAUGUCUUUGAAAUACUGACCAGUAGCGAGACGGACUCUGGUGUGGGCUUCUUGGUAUAAAUUCUUGACUGCGUCAAUGGCAUCUGUGAGGAAGCCAAGGUCAUACAUGAUCCAGAGUAGCUUGUCAUGGUCUGUUGUAUUGAAUGCAGAGGUAAAAUCUACAAUAAGAGCAUAUUUAUCUUUGUUGAAGAGUUUGGAAUCCCUAGGGUCAUGAUUAGGUUUUGAAGUUGGUGUAUGGUGUCUGUAUGUUUACAGAAACCUGCUUGCAUAGAGCUGAGGAGGGAGUGGCUCUCUGCGUAUUCAUAGAGUGUGGUCGUAACCAGGCGCGUCCAUAGUUCAUAGAGGGUGUUGGCCAAGCCAAUAGGUCGGUAGGACGUGAUGUCCGUUUCAGGGCCUUUAUCUUUGAAGACAAGUGCUUGCUACAGAAAAUCAUCAAGGUUUACAAGGUUAACAAGGGAACAUAACCUUCAGCCAGAAAGUUUGGCUGCUCGGUGUGGUGAAAAAAAUCAAUAAGCUCAAAGAUAGAGCGAUAAGUCUGAGUAUCUUGGUUUUGAAAGAAACGAGUUACAUCCAGAGAGCAGGCAUCAGAAAAAAAGAAAGAUCCUGUAUCAUCUGACACUACUCUGUGAGCAGGAAAGACACUAAAAAGAUGUGCAUACUUUCUUAUAAGGCAACAUAGGAAGUUGCAAGGGCAGAGAAAGAUGACUUGCUUUUCAUCCUGCCAUUGUUCUGAAACACAUAAAUCAAAUUGAGGUGCAUGUCCAUGCCAAUUAGAAGUUUCAACCCAAAGUUUAUGGGCGUGCAAUCGGAAGCAAGCAAUGUUCCUCUGCAUAUGCCUACCCAAAUCCAAAUGCAAAUAUCUAGGAGUAUGGAGAGGUUUACCAAAAGCAGAAUUAUGCCGGAAGGGAAGCACUGCCCAGUUAUGAUACUUGGCUAGCUUGUUUAAAUGAACACCAAGUUCAGCCUGAUCCUCAGUUGGCCACACGCUCCUAUGCCUUUCCGUGAAUCAACCACAAAAUCAUUCAUCCUAAUGCGCUGGCCUGAGUGCACGCAAUGCGUGAAGUAGUUGCGCCUGUCCAGUCCCUGAAAAGCAAAUAUGAACUCUGACGCCCAGCACUUUUUAGGGUUACUACUCAUGUCAAUAUCCGCACCAAUUACCCUAUGUAAAGAAGUGCUGUUGCAGGCAAGGGAGGCAUUAUAAAAUCCGACAGCAGCUCGAAACCAAUGGAAUUGUAAUGGUUCAAACCCACAUUCACGCAGCACAGACCAAUUUGGUGCAGUUUUUUUCACUCCAAGAGUUCGUUUAAGUAAACACAGGUGCACAGUCUGCAACGGGCAGGUCAUCUCAUCUCCUGGUCUCACAAACCUGGUACCCAAAAUUUGACCAGCAUACAUGCUAGCAGGGAGAGGAUAUGUCUUAGUCAACCAAAGCAUGAUAUGAGGCCUAUCUGCCAGCUUAUAUUCAUCUGCAACGUGCCAAUCAUCAAGAAAGAAGAAAAAGAAAGUCUACGCAAGCCACAGGCUGCGUGCAUUAAGGGAAGGUCUUCUAUCUGGAAAGCAUCUCGUUAAUCAAGGCUUCAAAGGCAACCCUCAGAGACUGUCUGAAUCUACAUGAUUCUAAACUACCGGCUGCGCCAUUCGCAAGAAUGUCACCUUUGACUUCCAACCUACCAACCCCCAGACAAAUAUCAUGCCAACAUGGCAAUGUGAUAUUAUUAUUAGAAGUGUUGAUCUCAUGAAGGAACCUCUUCAACCUGACACAUCUGAUGAAGUCGCAACACCAACACAAAUGAUUGUCCAGGUCUACUUUGUCGCCUACAGAGUCUUCUGGUUUUUCUGGCAUUUCCAAGUCUGGAUGCGUUCGUAACAUAUCAGCAAUUUCCCAUUUAGAAUGCCAUCCCACAUAGAUCAUUUCGCAAUCUUCAGAGAAGCCGAUCCUCUCUGCUUUUUGGGAGUCUGACAGAGAGGCACAUGCAGGGCAAUCCCAGUGCUCAUUUGGUUUGGCUUUGGGCGUCGCCUCUGAAACGGGGGCUUCACCAAAAAGAAAAGAAAAGAAAAGAAAAGAAAAGAAAAGAAAAGAAAAGAAAAGAAAAGAAAAGAAAAGAAAAGAAAAGAAAAAGAAAAGAAAAGAAAAGGAAAGUAAAGGAAAGGAGAGGAAAGGAGAGGAAAGAAAAGGAAAGGAAAGGAAAGAAAAGGAAAGGAAAAAAUGAACGAAAAAAAAAAGAAAAGAAAAGGAAAGAAAAGGAAAAAGAAAAGAAAAGAAAAAAGAAAAGGCAAGGAAAGAAAAAAGAAAAAAAAAAAGAAGAAUAUAAGAAAGAAGAAAAAAAGAAAAAAAGGAAAGAAAAGAAAAGAAAAAAAGAAAAGAAAAGAAAAAAGAAAGGAAUAGAAAAGAAAAGAAAAGAAAANNNNNNNNNNNNNNNNNNNNNNNNNNNNNNNNNNNNNNNNNNNNNNNNNNNNNNNNNNNNNNNNNNNNNNNNNNNNNNNNNNNNNNNNNNNNNNNNNNNNNNNNNNNNNNNNNNNNNNNNNNNNNNNNNNNNNNNNNNNNNNNNNNNNNNNNNNNNNNNNNNNNNNNNNNNNNNNNNNNNNNNNNNNNNNNNNNNNNNNNNNNNNNNNNNNNNNNNNNNNNNNNNNNNNNNNNNNNNNNNNNNNNNNNNNNNNNNNNNNNNNNNNNNNNNNNNNNNNNNNNNNNNNNNNNNNNNNNNNNNNNNNNNNNNNNNNNNNNNNNNNNNNNNNNNNNNNNNNNNNNNNNNNNNNNNNNNNNNNNNNNNNNNNNNNNNNNNNNNNNNNNNNNNNNNNNNNNNNNNNNNNNNNNNNNNNNNNNNNNNNNNNNNNNNNNNNNNNNNNNNNNNNNNNNNNNNNNNNNNNNNNNNNNNNNNNNNNNNNNNNNNNNNNNNNNNNNNNNNNNNNNNNNNNNNNNNNNNNNNNNNNNNNNNNNNNNNNNNNNNNNNNNNNNNNNNNNNNNNNNNNNNNNNNNNNNNNNNNNNNNNNNNNNNNNNNNNNNNNNNNNNNNNNNNNNNNNNNNNNNNNNNNNNNNNNNNNNNNNNNNNNNNNNNNNNNNNNNNNNNNNNNNNNNNNNNNNNNNNNNNNNNNNNNNNNNNNNNNNNNNNNNNNNNNNNNNNNNNNNNNNNNNNNNNNNNNNNNNNNNNNNNNNNNNNNNNNNNNNNNNNNNNNNNNNNNNNNNNNNNNNNNNNNNNNNNNNNNNNNNNNNNNNNNNNNNNNNNNNNNNNNNNNNNNNNNNNNNNNNNNNNNNNNNNNNNNNNNNNNNNNNNNNNNNNNNNNNNNNNNNNNNNNNNNNNNNNNNNNNNNNNNNNNNNNNNNNNNNNNNNNNNNNNNNNNNNNNNNNNNNNNNNNNNNNNNNNNNNNNNNNNNNNNNNNNNNNNNNNNNNNNNNNNNNNNNNNNNNNNNNNNNNNNNNNNNNNNNNNNNNNNNNNNNNNNNNNNNNNNNNNNNNNNNNNNNNNNNNNNNNNNNNNACACAAGGCCAGAGCAUCAGUUGAACGCAGCAAAGCAGCAGCACGCAGACCUUUGUACACUUAUUAACGCUAAAGCUGUUACAAUUCACCCUUUGCUCCUGGGUGUAGGUGGAACUAUUUACACUGAGCAUAUUCUGAAGCGAUUCAAACAACUAGGAUUGGAUCACCAGCGUGCCACAAAGCUUGCUCAACAACUUCAUGCCCAUUAUGUUCAAUAUGCCCACAAACUAGUCAUCAUCCGCCGUGCUAUUGAAAACAAGUAUAUUUCCCACAGCCAGGCUCUAGAGCCAGGUGCUUCUAGUAACCCUCCAGAUCCACAUUAGCAUUCACUUUUUCAUACCUUGUGGUGGAGGGGGCACACGGCUCUUUUUUGAGCCAAUGUGUCUCCUUUUCUUUAAUUUAUGAAGGGAGAGUUUCUCUGCCUCCGUAGUUUUUCUUUUCUCUUCUUUUCUUUUGACAUUACGUCGAGUGCUGAAAGCAGCUUUGCACCUUACUAACUCUUUAGUAAGUCUUUUGGUCUGCGAAUGUUCCUGAGGCAUUCAGUGACAGAUUGAGCUAAUCAUGGCUUUGUUCAGAGAUUUUUCUCUUGCACAACUUGUGUCAACAACCUAGUGUCCACACUGUAUCUGAUUUUCCUUGCAACACACCAACAGCUUUUCUUUUUCAUGUCUGAGCUGUUGGAUCUGCUGUUGGCUGAUCAGCCAAACAGUCUGGCUGAGGGUUUUCCCUAGGAACAUGUAACCUGUUGUCUUGUGCCUGGAUUCACCCAUACACGUGUGCACCGCAUGACACAAUUUUGCCUUCAUGUGCAUGCAUUGAUUGUUGAGAAAGCUACUUGGAAUGAUGACAUCUCAACAAUUUUCCUCCCAUUUGGCCUCCUUUCAAGCCGGUACUGUCACAACUCAGAGCACUCAGACGCAUGGCUUAACGUCACUUCAUAACCGUGGUAGCAGUGCCUGACUUACGUGUCCGUAUCCACUGAACCCAUCAUAUUCGGCACUUGAUUUUUCAGAGCUUCACCGGUUUGCCAUGUUUGCAUUUCUCCUGCUUUUUCUUGUAUUUUAAGACAUUCACUUGAUAAAAUCCAUUCAGGCUACAAGAGAAAGAUGAGCAGUCAGCCUUUCUAGCUUCUGGCUUAAACCCUGCCGUAAACUUUUAAAAACUUGACUGGAGGCCUAGCUUGCGUAGCUUUUGGCUUGGUGGGUUAGAAUUUGAAGCCCAGUUCACAUCCUUGUCUAUGCUGUGAGGGGCCCUGAGUUUGUGCCCUUGUGGCAGUGGAGCUUCGCUCUUUCCUAAAAAAGAAGAAGAAAAAAUCUCCGGUGGGCAAAAGCCAGGGUGAACUAGGGAAAGACCCAUCAGUCAGCACUAAAAUUCAGAUUGAGCCACACCACUUCAGACAUUUAGAUUGAGCCACACCACUUCAGACACUUAGAUUGGGCCACACCACUUCAGACCCCAAGAGAAAGGGAGGCAUAGAGGUUUGCUCCAGCACGUAGGCCUCCACCUAGGACACCCAUAUGACGCUUCUUUUGAGGGCCUGUCCAGCAAACUCGAAACCCAAACCUUAGCCUCGGAAAAAGCUGUCCAUCAUCUCUGCAUGUUCCCACCUCUUGCACAGGAGCCAGCUGUUGCCAGGAGGCGAGCAUGCAGCUAUGCAGCCCGGAGCUGAAGUCACUCCACAUCGGAGCACCAUCUCCACUGCGCUACAGAAAAAGAAAAAGGGAAAACACGUAGGCAGAGCCAACUCCCCCUACAUCAAUCAAGAAAAGGGAGACACAUUGGCUCAAAGAGCCGGGAGUCACCCCCAAAAGAUGAGAGGGGAGUUGAUGUGUACCUGGUGGAUUUCUGGCAGCUCGCGGCUCACAGUUAUGAUGUAUAAUAGCAUGCUCAGGUCCUACAGCAAGACGCUGAGGAGAGUGCUGAAAGCGGAUCUGAACAUUCAUUCUCGUGAGCCUUCUUGCUGGACUGCUCAAGUUUUAGAUGCCUUUCAAGGAUUGCGGCGCUGUGAUUCCUUUGUUGAAGCUGUGCGGCAGGGUACUCCUAUUUCUACUCAAGAGUUCACUGCUGACCUCAGGCACAGGUUGCGGGCAGUGUGGAGAGAUGUUGAGGGAGUAAACCCACGAGAGACUUGCAGUAAAUUGGCAACCUAUCAAACUUUGUUUGCAGUGCCUUUUGACCACAAUGUGCGUGCCCCAGCCCGCUUACCGAGACACAUGCAUUUGGAUCUGUCUCAACAUGUCGUUAGGAAUGUUAGCCGAUUCAGACUUAGGGCGCACAGGCUGAAGGUAGAGACAGCGGCUUGGGAUUCUCGAAACUCUCUCAUGUGUGAUUGCUGCUCUUGUGAUGAGAUUCAGAAUGAAAUCCAUGCCCUUUUGACAUGCAGAAACGCAGAUGUUUGUGAUUUGAGGAGAAAGUAUGCUUACCUGUUCAGCUGUUUCUCUGGUGUUUUUUGAAUGGAACAACCUUAUUUACAGCAAGGUAGUAUCCAGGCUGUGCACGAUUUCCUCUUGCAACACAACAACAAGCUUUAUUUGUUGAUUUCUGAGCUUAUGGAUAUUAUGUUGGCUGGCGAGAUCCAGUCACAGGCCGAUCAGUCGAACAAUCUGGCUGAAGGUCAUCUCAUUUAAAUCUGAAAUCUGAAAUCUGAGAUCACAGUUUUUUUUUCAAUACCGGUCUUGGAAGACGAAAGACGGAAGGAGUCGGGGUACCCCGCCUGGCUGAGUUGAACCUGUGCGCAAAUUGUACAGAAUGGGUAUGGAAUUUCUGCGCGAGUCUGCUAGAUCUCAAAAAUAAGCUAGAUAAUCUCGAAGCAUCCUAUGCAUCCCCACGCCAAGUGCUUAAAAAAAAAGGAAGAUUUACGCUCUUGAGCGUGCAUUAAGGGAAGAACCCUGUAGGGAACUCACCAACCACCCGGAUUCCUCCAAGUUUCUUUUGCGCAGUGAUUGUACUCACCAAGACUCGAACACAUUACCCCUGGAUCAUCGUUUCCCGAGUAUUUCCGGGAGAGAGACUGAGCUACACUUGCUCUUCUUUUUUGGUGCCCGAGGGGCGGAGCCGCAAUCCAGGCCAUGCAAAAAUUAAACCGUGCACAUACCCCGUAGAGCAGUGCUGCUGGAGCCGCAGCCAAAGUGCAAUGGGAGCAGCUCCAACAUGCGAACCCCCUUCGGGAUCAGGGUUACGCACCGGUUAGGUAAGUAUCCCCACGCCAAGUGCUAAACAUUGUCCGCAGCAGAGUUCAAUAUGUUGUUUCAAUAUCAUGGUGGAUUACCCUGCAGAUCCUCGUUAGCUCUGUUUAUUGCUUUCACCUAGGCUGGCUUUGUCUUGUGUAGCUUUUAAGGGCCUUUUGGUGAAGCCCCUGCUAGCUUGCUAGGUAGGAGACCUUCCCUUGAAGCACAUGGCCUCUGGCCUGCAUAGACUUUUCUUCUCUUAAUCUGUUCUUUGGACAUGGAUUCGGGCUGUUGCUGCAGUUCCUAAACAUUGCAAUAGGGUUUUUGGAGUUUUGAGGAAACUGUUUGCCAAACAUUAUGCAAAUCUGCAUCUGACCAUUUCUCUCCUUGCACUUGGUGUCUGAAUAUCUGGAGUUUCAAGUCAAACAUAUGAGCAUUCUGGUUAAGACUCCUUGUGCCAUUUUCUCAGUGCUUACUUGGGGAACCUCUGCCUUACAUGGUACUAUGAGCGCAUGUUUCUCAACAGUUGACAUUUCUAUACGCAUUUUUUUUGAAGACUUGUCUAGUUCCAGGUCUGUGUUUCCGCUCAGCUGCCCUCGUAGGCGGAUAUAGCGAUGUAACCUUACCCUACCUUAAUCUGUUCUUUUCUUUUUCUUUCUGGGCACCAGGCCUUGUAUCUUCACAGGCCUUGUAUCUCCACCUUUUCUAUGGGUGGCUAGCAUGGGCGGGGCCGCUCUGCCCGAGCCGGAACUUGCUGCCCUUACUGCCUUCUCUCGAGCGGCAAUCCAGGGGGGGAACAUUCCCCGCCAGGUUCCAUUCACUAAACCCAUAAUUCUGGUCGUCCGUGUCUAGGGAUGCACCUUGGCGUUUGCAUCAGGGGGCUGAAGGUCAAUUUUUCCCUUAUGUAAAUGUGCAUGCCGCUGGCAGGAAUAGCGCUGAGGCCACAGUGGGGCGCUGCUGCAUCAGGAGAGAGGAGAGAGAGUGUACCAACAAUCCAGGGAUUUACAUUGAUCUAUCCCUGGUCCCUGGUUGGGCUCUUGCUUCUAAGGUGCCGAAAUAGGGAAAAAAAGGGAAGUGCCAGUAUAACUCCAGCCUGCUUUUUACAUAACUUUGAUGCUUAUCACUCUGCAUUUUUCUGUCUCACCUACUUGGGCCUCCCUCGUGUUUAAAUGCAGGGUUUGGCUGUCAAUGUGCUCCUUCUUUUAGUGCAUGGUACUGCAUUUAAUGCGUUUUUCUUUGCCAAAACUUUGAAGUGUUGCACUCCUCUUUUUCUGAUGGCGGCCUGUUGAUCCAGGUAGAUUCAAGACUGAUUUUAAAUCCGCUGCUUUGUUCCACAAGCAGUCCGACAUGUUUAUACAACAAAGACAGCAUGAUUCUCUCCAAAUUUAUUUCUCCCUUAUUAUUCUCUUGAUUCAGUAAAGCAACAACUACAUCAAAAGCAACCAAACUUUUCGUAAUUCAGCUAAAUUUGCGGUCUCUACUUUUUGCCUAGCACUUCUGCGUUUUGGCUGAUAACUCCUUUCUCGUAAACAUGGUGACAGAUCGCAGGCAUCCACAGCUAUACGAUCCUAUCCUAUUUUAUCUUUAUAAACGCCAACUGAGAUCGAUUCAUGUAAUUACCCGUGUAGGACUGGGCAAUGUCUGUGUCUGGGGCCAGGCAAGACAAUCUCGCUUAGCUGCAAAGACCAAGGGCGACAGUAGCAGAUUGAUCAGCAUCCUCCAGCUGAAUUAGUUUUUAGGCGUGCGUGGGCAAGUUCUGUGUAGUGCGUGGUAAGUGUGUAUCGGGGCGCACUACACAAUACCACUCUACAAAGCCUGAGCUCAGCUGUUUCUGAGAGCAUUCCUCUGCUCUGUAAGGGCUUGAAUGAUGAAUCCUUUUUAUCACACAUCAAAAUCUGAGUCGUCAUCUCCUUACCAGUUGAUAAACAAGGUUGUAAGACUUGAAAAAAAGGAGCAAAAAAACAAGUCUGAUGUCUGAUACAUCUACUUACUAAUGUAACUGAACAGGUGCAACAAUGGGAUACACACAUACCAGUAAACCACGAGGGCCACAGGAGCGAAAAGGAAAUAUCGUUAUGGCAAAGGCAACUUAGGCACACAUUCAACGGGAGGGAUUGGCGCCGCUGGAAUCACAGGGACCCCUAAAAUAACAUCCUGAAGAAUUGCAUCACAGUGUACGUUCAGGAAUAAGAUGAAUGGAGAGGAAUUAAUUUUAAUUACAAACGUGACCCAGGGAGGAGAAUGGACACGACAAGCAACUCAAACAAACACACCUCCAAGUAGAUCACGAUCUCAGCCAAGAACGGACUAAAGCAAGUAAUAAAUUAUGGUGAAAACCAAAUAUCAUGCCGCAGUGCAAUGAUGUUUAAAAGCGGCUGGUCGCCUCUCGCUUCUGCCACACGCAAGCCUGCCUGCAUCCUAAGGUAAGGGAUGAAGACAAAAUGAAUGAAGAUUCAGCCAAAAACAAUUGUGAAGUUGUUGCUGAAGCAUGUUAGAAUUCUUCCUUGAACGUUCGAAACUAACAACGUUUGAAACUAACGCUGAACACCAGAAUGUUAAAAAUCAAGAGAGAGGGAUGAUUUCAUGCUUCAAAUUGAUUUUUUUCCUCUCUCCUCAGUCCUCAAAUCGAACCAUCGUCCAAGAACAUGCCAUAUAAGCCUUUCAUAAAAGCACAAACAAACACAGAAAUCCAACAUGAACACACACACACACACACACACACACACACACACACACACACACACACACACACACACACACACACACAUGCAUUGUAACAUGGCUAGCAGCCUCAGGAGAGCCACAUAAAUCAAGCAUUGAGCACUCUGUGUGGGAGACAAGCACAAUCCUACUGCACAGCAAAAACAAUCAAGCCAGGGCUCCAGAUGUCGCACUCGAGCCUUGCGUUUCUGACCAUGUCAUGUCACGGCAUGCAUACAUGCAGGCCAGGCAGAUCCAUGCUAACCCAUGGCAAUUGCAUGGCAUGCUUCAGCCCAAGCUGUUGAAAUGCAGCGUCACUUUCCAUUCAGCAAGUGGCCCAGGGGA
rnacentral:lncRNA from 1 species